AUUGAACGCUGGCGGCAGGCUUAACACAUGCAAGUCGAACGAGUGGCGGACUUGUGAGUAAUUUCUUGGAAUCUUCCUUAUGGAGGUGGAUAACUACUGGAAACUGUAGCUAAUACCGCCUACCAUCCGAUGUUCCCAUGUGGGAUUAUGUAGUUGGUGGGGUAAAGGCUCACCUAGCCGACGAUCUCUAGCUGGUCUGAGAGGAUGACCAGCCACACUGGAACUGAGACACGGCCCAGACUCCGAAGGGAGGCAGCAGUGGGGAAGAUUGCACAAUGGGGGCAAGCCUGACGCAGCCAUGCCGCGUGAAUGAAGAAGGCCUUCGGGUUGUAAAGUACUUUCGGUGGGGAGGCGGUAAGAAAAGAAGAAGAAAAGGCUAACUCCGUGCCAGCAGCCGCGGUAAUAG
rnacentral:rRNA from 1 species